GUCCUGACAGUAAACGGUGCACGUUUGGUGUAGGCGGAUUCGACCCCGUCUGUGCCGGAGCUAACGCGUUAAACGUGCCGCCUGGGAAGUACGGUCGCAAGAUUAAAACUCAAAGAAAUUGACGGGGGCCCGCACAAGCGGUGUAGUAUGUGGCUUAAUUCGAUGCAACGCGAAGAACCUUACCAGGGUUUGACAUGUAUUGUGUCGGCGAUGAAAGUCGCCUAGCUGGGUUAAACCAGCGCUUUACACAGGUGCUGCAUGGCUGUCGU
rnacentral:rRNA from 1 species